rnacentral:rRNA from 1 species
GUGACCUCAAAUCAGGUAGGACUACCCGCUGAACUUAAGCAUAUCAAUAAGCGGAGGAAAAGAAACUAACAAGGAUUCCCCUAGUAACUGCGAGUGAAGCGGGAAAAGCUCAAAUUAAAAUCUGUCAGCCUUGAUU